GUCUCUCAUCUCUCCCGUCGCUUCCUCUUCUUCUCGAAACCAUGGCGCUCGAGGGACCGUUGGUCUCCCAUCUCUGCCGUCGCUUCCUCUUCUCCUCGAUAAGAAUCCCUAACGCUAGAUUUCUUUCUACCCAGAUUCAGUGCCAUCUCCUGCUAUUCCUUCCCUCCCACUAAUCCUAACGCUUAUUAUAUAUUAUAUAUAUAAUAUAUAAUAUAUAUUAUAUAUAUAUAUAUAUUUAUUUAUUUAUUUUACCCAGAUCUGCAUUCGUGCGGCGGGGGAGGAGGCACUGCUCUUGGAUGCUGGAGAUUCGCGUUCUUUCGAUCUUCCAUUCCUUCCAUGCAGAUCAUAUGAGGUAUUUGAAGCUUUAGCUAAUGUUUAUGUCCACCAUAGGGGAAAAGGUUGCUUCCUUUUCAGCUAGUCUAUCUUCUCAUUUUGUACAUAUUCUAAGGUUUAUUUGUGUGAUCAUAUGGUGUUUGAUUCAAUGCAAGUUUUGAUCUUUUUGGAGUUACGGUACAUCCAGUUGCUGAACUUAAUACGGAGAUCAAGUCCUCUUUAAGGAUUUGAAUUUAAAUUCAGUGAUCGGAUAUCUUUCAGAAAUUUUGGUUGCAUACUUUUGUUCAUUACUUGGUCGUUGGUUUUGUGCCAAAGUUUCACAGUUGUUAUUGUAAUUGGAUUUAGAAUUUUCCAUGGAAGGGAUACAUAUAGAUAGAUUAGUACGACAGAUAGCUCUUUCGUUAGAGCGUCAUAAACAGCAACACGUCUUGAAUGUUCGAUCUAUAUUAGAAUUUAGCAAAACCUGUAUUAGAAUUUAGGUGGUCUGAUAAUGGAUUAAAAAAGUGGGGUGAAUUGUUCGAUAUUGUUUAUUAAGAUCUACAUAUAACAAUUCAACUAAAACCCAACUUGCAAAGCAGUGAUGAUUGUUCAUCAAUUGCUUUUUGGUACAUGAUUGUUCAUCAAUAGCUAAACAGGGACUUCAUUCUGUCCUUAGUGGUGACUUGCAUAUAGAGUAAUGACAGACCAUGUGGAAAUGCCAAUUUUACAUCUGAUAUUGGUAGUGUACUAGCAUACAUGUGAUACAUUGAUGACAUUCUGAGGCAUCAAGAAAUGUCCUUAUAUGAGUGGGAUAUCAUUGGGUAGAGGAUGUGAUGGAACGAUUGGGAAAUUGGAACACAAUGGAAGAUUUAGUACUUAAUUUGCACUAAUUUAUAAUCCUACACCUACAAAUGAAUAUUAUAAUAUGUGGAAAGGUGUUGUAGUCUUUGAAAAGUUGUUUAAGAUGGCAACAGAAAUUCAAAAGUUUCUUUCUGAAAGAAAGCAAGAUUGAUGUUCAAAGAACUUUCUGCUGACAUUAGAUCAAAUUUCCUAGCAGAAAAUCUGAUCACAGAGCAUAGGCUAAUAAUUUUUAAUGCAUCCAAGAAGAAAAUGGAAAAGGACUCUUUCAGGUAGCUAGGACUGACUGAUGGUUUUACAAGGGGAAAAAGUGGCUGGAUUAUCUUUCUGAGUAUAAUUGUUGAAGAAGGGUAUGCAUGCUGAAAAGUUGUGCUGGAUUGUAGGGUGAAACCGAAGUAAAAUAAUAGAAAUUCUUUGAAUUCCAAAAUCCAAUGAUGAGUGGUAUGGUAAAAAAAGAAAAUUUGGUGGUGGAACAUUUAGUUCGUGAGGCAAUUGAUGCCAGAACAUUCACAUUUAGUUCGAGGCAAUAAAGCUAUUAUACUAGUUAAAUUUUGCAGCCGAUGAUUUAUAGGCUUUAUCAAUUAAGAUAUGAUCAUUUGUCAUUUUUGAAUGUUUUAAAAUCACCUCUCAACCUGAAAUCACUAAAUGUGGUACCUAUUCCUAACCCAAGUCAACUUUGUGCAAGAGAGGGGCUUACCAGGGAAAAUAGGAGGCUAGUUGGAAAGUACAACGUUCCAUUUUCAUAGGUUCUGUAGCUUAAGUUCAGGCAACUUGGGAGAAGAUCAUGCACAUGGAAUUUCCAUCAACAACAAUUAAGUGGCCUGACAGUCGCGAGACAGAACCAUAAGGCCUGCUAGGUUACUAUCCAUCUCUUCAAUGACGACCCUUUGUCACUUAACUACUCUUGGUUAAGUAUGAUCAUUUCCAGCUAACUAUUAUUCUGUCCGUCAUCUAGUAAUGAAUGUGACAGCAUGGACACGAGAGUACAAUCAUUCAUUUGCUAUAGUCUAUUAUUUUCUUACAGUCUGUCAUGCUUGGUAUGAAGAUGAAUCCUCAUGUUGAUCGAGCUGUAAGAUCUGCAUCUUGAGUUGCCUUGAUGUGAGCUGGCUGAAACAUAUGUACUAUCGAGUGCAUGAACCAUUUUAAGCUGAUAAACUCCAAACUUGCUGGCAUUCAGAAUCUAAUUUGGUUAGCUGCAUGCUUUUAAAAAGCUAGCAGUGAUUUAUGAUGAAAAAUAAACAUAACUAGCCACAGUCCUGUGGUUGCAUUUGCUCCUGCUCCUUAUGACAAGUAGUAUAAGCAACCUAAAACGUUUUCCUUGCUCCAUGGAAUCUUUUCCCCAAUCUCAAGUGCCGAAGGGUCUAUAUUCUAAAAUUUUCAUCUUGAAACAUCUUGCUCAGACAUCCACAGGAAAAUCAACCGUUUUGGAUGUGGAGUCCUAUAGUUUUUUUUGCUUGCCUGGAGCUUAUCACAAAGUAUUUGUAAAGAUAAUUUUUAUAUUAAUAGAGCUAAAUCUUCAUAGUAGAAUAUUUAUGAUUCUGAAAUCUUAUGUAAUCAUCUAUGAUUCAAAUCUUCAUAGUAGGAUAUUUGUGAUUCUGUGUAAUCUUGUAUUAUUAGUAGAAUCUUAUGUAAUCAUCUAUGAUUUUGUGUAAUCUUGUAUAAUCAUUCGUAACUAGAUUUGUAUCACCUAUCUCUCUUUUUAAACACAACAGACUCAUCCUGAUGAAUAAGGUGAGGUUUAUAGAAUUUUCUCUCUCUCAAAUAUUUUCAUGAUAUCAGAGCCAAUCUGGAUAAUUUUCUCAAUUUUUUUUCAAAAUUUUUGAGUUUUCUUUUCACAGAUCUUCAACAGUUCAAUUUUUCUUUCAAUUAUAGUCGAUCUCUCAAACUCAUCAAACACACAAACACUUCUCUCUACUAUUCCCUACUUGCCUAUCAAACUCGAGGGUCCAAACUACUAUCUAUGGAAGAACAUGAUGAUUCUACUUUUUCGGGCUUACAAGCUUCUCAGAUAUGCCGACGGCACACUCAAGGCACCACCAGCAAUGCUUAUCGACAAGGAUGGCACACCCAAAUCAAAUUCCGAAUACGAUACAUGGUUAGUUCAUGAUCAAUUUACUCUCACUGUGCUCUUGCUCUCUGUUGAUUCCUCCAUCGAAUCCAACCCUAUUGGACUCUUCUCUGCUCUCGCUACCUGGACUACUCUUGCCAAUCUCUUUGAUUCUUACACCAUGGCUCAAGAGGACUUUAUUGAUUUGCAAUAGUGUAAACUGAGCAAGAAUAAUAAAUCCAUGAUGGCUUAUCUAAAAGAGGUCCGUGAUGUUGCAAAUUAAUUUGCACAGAUCGGUAAGCUCAUGACAUCGAUGCAGAUUAAUUGAUGAAUUACUUUGGAUCUAGGCUUGGAAUGGGAGCCGCUUGUGCUCGCCCUUGCUCUCACUCUUUCAACCCUAUCCACCGAUGAUUUGCAGAUGCUACUUCUCCAAUAAGAGGUGCGACGCAACUUUGCCACCCCAUCCGAGCCAUCGUCGCCCCUUACCAGUCUUUUGGGGCCAACUCCACAACCCACAGUGCACUGGGUAGACGGUCGUGAUGGCAUUUCCUACAGCAGCGAUCGGAGCUCACGUGGCUAAUGGGGCGGAUGCGGUGGUCGUGGUUGUCACGACGAAGGUAGAACUUCUUCCCUUCUCGAGCUGAUUCUUACACUAGUUCUAGGCGCAACAAUGGCAUGAGCUUCUUUCUAGCUAACUAUUAUGACCAAAGUGGGCCUGGCAAUUCUUCUCGGCCUAACUCAGCUGCAUCAUGAUCUGGCCACUCUGGUCAGCCAAUUGGGCCUAGUCGUAUCUUCUUUGGCCUAACCAACCGAAUCUAGUCCACUUCCAAUAAUUCACACUAUGGACCUAACAGAUUUUUCAUGCCCAAUGAUCAAGUUAUUUGUCAGAUGUGUGCACGACCUGAUCACAUGGCCUCAUUUUGUUCUCCUUAUACAUAGAUAGUCCAGGCUCAUUCUUCACAAGGAUCAGUAUCUGGGACUCAUGAUCUGGACUGGUAUAUUGACUCUGGCACAAUGCAUCAUGUGACAUCUGAUCUCGCCAACUUCAACAUUAGAGAUGAUCAGUCAACCACAAAUCAUGUUUUUAUCGAUGAUGGUUCAGGUUUGCCUGUCCUUGCCUCUGGCUCUUCUACUUUACAUACACCUUAUUGUCCCUUACAUAUGAAUAACAUUUUAUGUGCACUCAAAAUUUUUAGAAAGUUACUUUUCAUAUCCAAAUUUGUUCGCAAUAAUACCUGCUUUUUUGAGCUUCAUUCUGAUUAUUUUAUUGUUAAGGACCUCCACAUGUGCCAGGAGCUUUUACUAGGACCAAUUAAAGAUGGAUUGUACUGCCUCCGCCCCAAUGCUAGCUAUUCUUUGAACCCAC
rnacentral:lncRNA from 1 species